UACGAAGGGGACUAGCGUUGUUCGGAAUUACUGGGCGUAAAGCGCGCGCAGGCGGUCUUCCAAGUCAGUGGUGAAAGCCUGGAGCUCAACUCCAGAACUGCCAUUGAAACUGUUAGACUUGAGUACGAGAGAGGUGAGUGGAAUUCCCAGUGUAGAGGUGAAAUUCGUAGAUAUUGGGAAGAACACCAGUGGCGAAGGCGGCUCACUGGCUCGUAACUGACGCUCAGGCGCGACAGCGUGGGGAUCAAACAGG
rnacentral:rRNA from 1 species